rnacentral:rRNA from 1 species
GGGUUGUGAGGUUAAGCGACUAAGCGUACACGGUGGAUGCCCUGGCAGUCAGAGGCGAUGAAGGACGUGCUAAUCUGCGAUAAGCGUCGGUAAGGUGAUAUGAACCGUUAUAACCGGCGAUUUCCGAAUGGGGAAACCCAGUGUGAUUCGUCACACUAUCAUUAACUGAAUCCAUAGGUUAAUGAGGCGAACCGGGGGAACUGAAACAUCUAAGUACCCCGAGGAAAAGAAAUCAACCGAGAUUCCCCCAGUAGCGGCGAGUGAACGGGGAGCAGCCCAGAGCCUGAAUCAGUGUGUGUGUUAGUGGAAGCGUCUGGAAAGGCGUGCGAUACAGGGUGACAGCCCCGUACACAAAAAUGCACAUACUGUGAGCUCGAUGAGUAGGGCGGGACACGUGGUAUCCUGUCUGAAUAUGGGGGGACCAUCCUCCAAGGCUAAAUACUCCUGACUGACCGAUAGUGAACCAGUACCGUGAGGGAAAGGCGAAAAGAACCCCGGCGAGGGGAGUGAAAAAGAACCUGAAACCGUGUACGUACAAGCAGUGGGAGCACGCUUAGGCGUGUGACUGCGUACCUUUUGUAUAAUGGGUCAGCGACUUAUAUUCUGUAGCAAGGUUAACCGAAUAGGGGAGCCGAAGGGAAACCGAGUCUUAACUGGGCGUUAAGUUGCAGGGUAUAGACCCGAAACCCGGUGAUCUAGCCAUGGGCAGGUUGAAGGUUGGGUAACACUAACUGGAGGACCGAACCGACUAAUGUUGAAAAAUUAGCGGAUGACUUGUGGCUGGGGGUGAAAGGCCAAUCAAACCGGGAGAUAGCUGGUUCUCCCCGAAAGCUAUUUAGGUAGCGCCUCGUGAAUUCAUCUCCGGGGGUAGAGCACUGUUUCGGCAAGGGGGUCAUCCCGACUUACCAACCCGAUGCAAACUGCGAAUACCGGAGAAUGUUAUUACGGGAGACACACGGCGGGUGCUAACGUCCGUCGUGAAGAGGGAAACAACCCAGACCGCCAGCUAAGGUCCCAAAGUCAUGGUUAAGUGGGAAACGAUGUGGGAAGGCCCAGACAGCCAGGAUGUUGGCUUAGAAGCAGCCAUCAUUUAAAGAAAGCGUAAUAGCUCACUGGUCGAGUCGGCCUGCGCGGAAGAUGUAACGGGGCUAAACCAUGCACCGAAGCUGCGGCAGCGACGCUUAUGCGUUGUUGGGUAGGGGAGCGUUCUGUAAGCCUGUGAAGGUGUGCUGUGAGGUAUGCUGGAGGUAUCAGAAGUGCGAAUGCUGACAUAAGUAACGAUAAAGCGGGUGAAAAGCCCGCUCGCCGGAAGACCAAGGGUUCCUGUCCAACGUUAAUCGGGGCAGGGUGAGUCGACCCCUAAGGCGAGGCCGAAAGGCGUAGUCGAUGGGAAACAGGUUAAUAUUCCUGUACUUGGUGUUACUGCGAAGGGGGGACGGAGAAGGCUAUGUUGGCCGGGCGACGGUUGUCCCGGUUUAAGCGUGUAGGCUGGUUUUCCAGGCAAAUCCGGAAAAUCAAGGCCGAGGCGUGAUGACGAGGCACUACGGUGCUGAAGCAACAAAUGCCCUGCUUCCAGGAAAAGCCUCUAAGCAUCAGGUAACAUCAAAUCGUACCCCAAACCGACACAGGUGGUCAGGUAGAGAAUACCAAGGCGCUUGAGAGAACUCGGGUGAAGGAACUAGGCAAAAUGGUGCCGUAACUUCGGGAGAAGGCACGCUGAUACGUAGGUGAAGCGACUUGCUCGUGGAGCUGAAAUCAGUCGAAGAUACCAGCUGGCUGCAACUGUUUAUUAAAAACACAGCACUGUGCAAACACGAAAGUGGACGUAUACGGUGUGACGCCUGCCCGGUGCCGGAAGGUUAAUUGAUGGGGUUAGCGCAAGCGAAGCUCUUGAUCGAAGCCCCGGUAAACGGCGGCCGUAACUAUAACGGUCCUAAGGUAGCGAAAUUCCUUGUCGGGUAAGUUCCGACCUGCACGAAUGGCGUAAUGAUGGCCAGGCUGUCUCCACCCGAGACUCAGUGAAAUUGAACUCGCUGUGAAGAUGCAGUGUACCCGCGGCAAGACGGAAAGACCCCGUGAACCUUUACUAUAGCUUGACACUGAACAUUGAGCCUUGAUGUGUAGGAUAGGUGGGAGGCUUUGAAGUGUGGACGCCAGUCUGCAUGGAGCCGACCUUGAAAUACCACCCUUUAAUGUUUGAUGUUCUAACGUGGACCCGUGAUCCGGGUUGCGGACAGUGUCUGGUGGGUAGUUUGACUGGGGCGGUCUCCUCCUAAAGAGUAACGGAGGAGCACGAAGGUUGGCUAAUCCUGGUCGGACAUCAGGAGGUUAGUGCAAUGGCAUAAGCCAGCUUGACUGCGAGCGUGACGGCGCGAGCAGGUGCGAAAGCAGGUCAUAGUGAUCCGGUGGUUCUGAAUGGAAGGGCCAUCGCUCAACGGAUAAAAGGUACUCCGGGGAUAACAGGCUGAUACCGCCCAAGAGUUCAUAUCGACGGCGGUGUUUGGCACCUCGAUGUCGGCUCAUCACAUCCUGGGGCUGAAGUAGGUCCCAAGGGUAUGGCUGUUCGCCAUUUAAAGUGGUACGCGAGCUGGGUUUAGAACGUCGUGAGACAGUUCGGUCCCUAUCUGCCGUGGGCGCUGGAGAACUGAGGGGGGCUGCUCCUAGUACGAGAGGACCGGAGUGGACGCAUCACUGGUGUUCGGGUUGUCAUGCCAAUGGCACUGCCCGGUAGCUAAAUGCGGAAGAGAUAAGUGCUGAAAGCA